UCACCCUCCUCAAGUGACCAGUGUGGCCAAGUCUCUGUACGGAUCCCUGGGGGACUGUGCCCUGGAAGGAAUCCAGUCCAGCAGCACCAACGGGCACGUUCAAACGCAGCUUGCGACAAGGCCCUUCCUCUGCUUAGGAGCGCCGUCCUCCGGGCUUGCCUCUGCAGAUGUCUUUUGCUCAACAGUGCCCAUCCUUGGCAGAACCUUUGGCUUCUGCUUCUCACCUAGGCGUCGAAAGAGAAGCUUUGAAUCUUAGAGAGCGAGACUAGAGAAGCUCUUCAGGAUACCUACAAUGUGACCACGUGCUGGCAGGAGUGGUUCAUCGAGGCUCUGCUCAUCUCAGUGACCCAUUCAUAUUACAGGACAAAGCCCCUUUCUCGCUGACAGAAUGGAGAACGUGCUGAUGAAGCAAAGGGGAGAAAUGGAUGGGCUACAAAG